rnacentral:sRNA from 1 species
UUAAAAUUAACCUUUCAAUUUUUCUGUAGUUUCAAUUUUGAUGUAAGUGGCUAUUUUAUAAAUACAUAUAUCUAUAUAUAUUUAAGCAAAACAUAAGAUGAAAAAUAAGCAAAAAUUAAGCAAAACAUAAGAAGAAAAAUAAGCAAAAGUUAAGCAAACAUAACAAAAAAAUGUAACUUGACUAAAUGCAAAGCUUUUUAACCAAAAGAUAAAACUUUGACACAAUGACUUUAAUGAAAACGUCUUUUUUAAAACAAUAUCUAUAGAACAUAUUAUUUUACUUUAUUUUUGGCUCAACUUCUACUAUUCAUAAUCCAAAGUUCUUACAUAACCUGUUCUAAAUCACAGAAUGUUUUAUGUAUUGUUCACACAAUUUGGUGUAUUCAGUACUAUUAUGCUAAACUACAUCUUCAAAAUGCAUAUCAGAGACGAUCACAUUAUUCUUUUGUCUAAUAAGGGUUUUGGAUUUGUUAAAGUAAAAUUUAAUUGUGACAAACGGAAAACCCCACGUCUACCAAGUAAUUUUUUUCUAGAAAGACCGCCAUCAAAGAAAAUGCCAUUUGGAUUACCUUUUUAGCAUCAUGAUUUUGGUGAAAAAAUGUAUUUCUAUAGAAUCGUCAUAUUAAACUUUGAUAGAUUUGCAUUAAGUUACAGACUACUUUUGGUAAGCUACAUCUUCUAAACUUAAGUAAGCUACAUUAUUCUUUGCGUCUAAUUAUUAUUAUAAAUGAAAAUAAUUUUGUAGAUCUAUGAUGUUAAAUCCACUGAUCAUUCCAUGACAAAUGAAAUAUUUCUUUAUUUUUCAUUGUAUAUUUUAUAGUUUAUAGACAUAUUGAAAAGGGGUAGUGUUGAAAGAGUAUUCAUAGCAAUUAUUCUAGAAUUUUGGGUAGAAAAUCUUUAUUUAUUUCUAAUUAAUUUAUUUUCUUAUUCAAUAUUAUUCAAUAUUAUUCAUAAUUAGAUGGGUUUAAAACUAAUUAUACUCUUACAUUAUAGGAUUUACAAUAUUUAUUAUAUACUAAAAGAUUACUAAUCCAAUAAGAUAAUUACAAUAUUUUAAUGAGGCUGUUUUAGUACAUUAAUGUAUU